GCAAACUUGGUCAUUUAGAGGAAGUAAAAGUCGUAACAAGGUCUCCGUAGGUGAACCUGCGGAGGGAUCAUUACUGAAUGGCCCGUCAUGGGCCUUCAACCCAUAAGACCUGUGGACAUUAAGAUGUGCUUCGGCGUCGCUAAUGUGACGCCGUCUUUAUGCUGAAAGGCUGGAUUAUGUCUGAUAAAUCAAGAAGAUUUAAAACUUUCAACAAAGGAUCUCUUGGCUCUCGCAUCGAUGAAGAACGCAGC
rnacentral:misc_RNA from 1 species